rnacentral:rRNA from 1 species
CCUACGGGGUGCAGCAGUGGGGAAUAUUGGGCAAUGGGCGCAAGCCUGACCCAGCAACGCCGCGUGAAGGAAGAAGGCUUUCGGGUUGUAAACUUCUUUUCUCAGGGACGAAGCAAGUGACGGUACCUGAGGAAUAAGCCACGGCUAACUACGUGCCAGCAGCCGCGGUAAUACGUAGGUGGCAAGCGUUAUCCGGAUUUACGGGGUGUAAAGGGCGUGUAGGCGGGACUGCAAGUCAGAUGGGAAAACCACGGGCUCAACCUGUGGCCUGCAUUUGAAACUGUAGUUCUUGAGUACUGGAGAGGUAGACGGAAUUCCUAGGGUAGCGGUGAAAUGCGUAGAUAUUAGGAGGAACACCAGUGGCGAAGGCAGUCUGCUGGACAGCAACUGACGCUGAGGCGCGAAAGCGUGGGGAGCAAACAGGAUUAGAUACCCUUGUAGUC